CUGGUUGAUCCUGCCAAAGGUUACUGCUAUCGAGAUUCGACUAACCCAUGCGAGUGGAAUGUUCUUCGUGAACAUGGCGAACUGCUCAGUAACACGUGGACAACCUACCCUUGGGUUCGGCAUAAUCCUGGGAAACUGGGGAUAAUACCGGAUAGGUCACAGAUGCUGGAAUGCACUGUGGCUCAAAGCUCCGGCGCCCAAGGAUGGGUCUGCGGCCUAUCAGGGUUGUAGUGGGUGUAAUGUACCUACUAGCCUACGACGGGUACGGGUUGUGAGAGCAACAGCCCGGAGAUGGAUUCUGAGACACGAAUCCAGGCCCUACGGGGUGCAGCAGGCGCGAAAACUUUACAAUGCGGGAAACCGUGAUAAGGGAAUCUCGAGUGCCAGCAUAUAAUGUUGGCUGUCCAGAUGCCUAAAAAGCAUCUGUUAGCAGGGGCCGGGCAAGACCGGUGCCAGCCGCCGCGGUAACACCGGCGGCCCGAGUGGUAACCGCUAUUAUUGGGUCUAAAGGGUCUGUAGCCGGCCAGGUAAGUCCCUUGGGAAAUCUGGCAGCUCAACUGUCAGGCUGCUAGGGGAUACUGUUUGGCUUGGGACCGGGAGAGGUGAGAGGUACCUUGGGGGUAGGGGUGAAAUCUUGUGAUCCUCGGGGGACCACCAGUGGCGAAGGCGUCUCACCAGAACGGGUCCGACGGUAAGGGACGAAAGCUAGGGGCACGAACCGGAUUAGAUACCCGGGUAGUCCUAGCCGUAAACGAUGCUCGCUAGGUGUCAGUCACGGUGCGACCGUGAUUGGUGCCGUAGGGAAGCCGUGAAGCGAGCCACCUGGGAAGUAUGGCCGCAAGGCUGAAACUUAAAGGAAUUGGCGGGGGAGCACUAC
rnacentral:rRNA from 1 species